AGAGCGUGGAGGUGGCGCGGGCGCGGCGGUGGACCUGGGGGUCGUCACUCCUGCAGCUGGCAGCCGCCGCUGGGCGCUUCCUGUCGCAUCUCUCUUGUCCGGCGGGCGCCCAUCCCGCCCCGCCCCGGCCCGUGGACCUGCAAACCGAGGCUCAGAGCGGAUUUGCCCUAGGGGCUUUCACGAGCUUAGCAGAGGGGUUCCCGGCGGGGUUCCCUGGGGUCACGGGGCGCGAUGAGCAGCGAAGAAAGGAGGCGAGGAGCUGCGUCCGGGCUGGGUGCUCUCUGAACGCGAGGAGGCGGGAUGCGCUCGCCGGGGUCCAUGAUGUGCUCGGCGCCCGUCCCUGGGCCCGGGAAUUCGGCCGCUGGGGAACCCGGGCCAGCGAAUUCGCCCGCGAUCUCCGCGGAUCCCAGGACUGCCAGCGCUUUGGCCCUAGAUGGACGGUGGGGAAUGGGGUAGGGGGCUCCGGAACCCCUAACGUGGAUUACUUGGUGCAUAUCGCCCAGGCAUGGAAGACCCACCACCUCGUCUCCACCCAUGGAUUGAUGCCUUCUGCCGAACAGGUCGCUUACCUGGAGGUGGAACCAGAGAUUCGUGGCUGCUGUGGGUAGGUGCUUCUGACGGGGAAAGAAGGACAAGAUGAGAGGCCUGGAAGGAAGGACCGAUAAAGGGCUGUUCUUCCUCGCCCACGCUUCCCACCAGGAACUUCUGUGGAGCCAGAGUUUGCCGCCAGGACCCCCACAGGACCUGGGUGAAAAAGGACCAUCUCUUAAGAGGCAAGAGCUCUUGAUUUGAUUGAGGAUUCUUAUUUUGGAGAACAAAGCAACUUCCAGAUUUGAGAAGACCUGCAGUUGAAGAAGACACCAUUGUCCCGGAUCCCUUGUUCUUCCUUCGCGUGGGAAAUGUUUCUUGGCGGGUGCCUGGUCUUAAGACUCCCCCACACUGGCCCCAGGGAAGCCAAGGACUUUCUGCCACACCCUUCCUCGCCCCCCACCUCCCACGUCCGCUGUGCCUUUGGACUCGGCAAUUCUUCUUGUUUGCUCCAUUAUCUUCCAGCCGGAUACAGAGUGAAUAGUUAACUACCCGCAGGUCAAUGGGGUCUUAAUUUUUGUUCCUGCUCCCUCUACAGAGGCCAGUGUCUGUGUGUUGCUAUGCAAGCGGCCUUGGAAUUGCAUCCCUUCUCAUUGAUUUGGGAUCUGGCCCCCGCAGGUUCCAGAGCAAUGCGGGUCCAGGCAGAAAUUCUUCAGGCUCUCAGGAUGUUGGAGGGGGCGCUGGCCGCGAGCUGGACCAUGAAGGCUGGUGUUCCCCACAUUCAGCUUUCUUGGGUUCGGAUCAUAAGCAGGUGUAGAUCUGGAGAAGCAGAAAAUGAACACAUUUUCUACUGACACCGAUGCACGGUCAGCGGUGAAGACCUUCUCCCAGCUAGCAUUUGGGUUCUGUGUCCAAACGCGGCGCUUCAUGGCAGAGUAUCCAGCCACCAGAGUUGGUGUGUCUUGAGGACCUGAAUUCUUGAGUGUGUGCUGGUGACACAGCCCUCUGACAGUCGAUGGGGCCUCACAAAACACAAGUCCUGCCUUUUCCUUUUCACUCUGUGGCCGUCAUACAUACGGCUAAAAACAUUUCCUAGAGAUCAGUCAUGGUUCAGUCGUGUCCAAAACGCAGAGCCAAAGAUGCAUUUUCUCUUUUCACAGCAAAUGAAUGACUUGCCUUCGGAAAAAGAAUGAAAGCCAGACAUUCUGCAUCUUUCCCGUGUUGUAGAUGAUGCAUUUGGAUGACCACUUUGUGACUUUGGUGUCUUAGAAGGGAAGCAGUGGGGUCCUUGGCAUCUCAGAUUCACCACAAAACAGACGAGGAGAACUUCUGGCGGAUGGUUUGUGCUUUUGAAAUGGGAGGCUUGUUUGUGGGCUUUUACCUUCCUUCCUUGACCUGCAGACACCUCAUUGCAUUAGAUUCCUUUGGGUUUUAAGAAGCAGAGACUUGCUGAUACUGCUCCGUACGUGCUGGUUUGUUUCGAGUUGCCAUGGACGUAAAGAAGAAAGGAAGCAGCCCGCCGAGGCGCUCUCCACCUAGGCCUGCCCAAGAAGCCCAAGUCGUUCCAGAUAGCCAGGGAUAGCAGAACCGAACCACCCUGGCCAUCUUGAUCUUCUGUUUGCACCAGCAUCCACUGUUCCCAGGAUCCUACCAUGGUGAUGAGCUGAGGGUGACUCAGUUGGCCCAGGACUGAGGAGUUUCCUGGGAUGCAGGACUUUUUAGUGCUAAACCUAGGACAGUCCUAAGCAAACUGGAACAACCAGUCACCCUACUGGGUGACUCGAGGACCCUGCCUCUCUUCUACUUUCCCUGCUGUGACUGGCUGAUGCUCUUGAUGGGUCUGGCCAGUCGCCAUUCAAAACUCUUGCGUCAGGCAACUUCAUUGGCCACUGGGCUACCUAUAGAUGGGUGCCCGUGGACCCAGCACCAACCCAUCUUGACCAGAUUUGUUGUUUCCAGGGUCAUAGGGUUGCAUAAUCUAGAAUAAAAGCCUGGCUGUAAACAACCAGCUGAGACCACUUCCUUCAGAAGACUGCUGUGCUUGGUUCCUUCCAGGUAAAAUGAGUGAGUCAGGCCACACGCUUCCCAAAGCCUCUGCCAGCGCUGCCAUCCACAGGGCUGCCAUAUUGGAUGCAGUUCAUGACAAAGGAUUUGCUACUUUUUGUUCUCUCUGGCUCUCCUCCUGCCUUCCCUUCAGCUUGCUCCAAGAUCAUGUGGACACACACCUCAGCAACCUCUGCCCCUCUGACCUCAUCCAAGUCACUGGCCUUGGGAGGCAGCCCAGGUGUUUCGAUUGGGCCAACUGCUGACAUUCCCUGCUGGUGACAACUUCUCCUCGAAGGCCUUCUCCAGCGUGUUUCCAGCUGUCCGUCUUCGUGGUUAUCCAGACUUGUAGGUGACGUAGAAGAGAGAAGGAGAAAUGAACACUGAAAAGAAAAUAGAACUUUGCAUUGCCAUCACCAAGGAAGAAGGCUGAUGGCUGAAGAUGUUUCCAGGCACCCGGAAUUUCAACCCUGAUGCUGGCGUGAGCCCUCUGGGGUGAUGGCUGCUCCGUUGCUUUAGGGGCGAAAUUCACUGGGAUGUGACUGUGUGCUUCUGAGGAUGUUGUUAGGCCCAUCACACGAGCCAGGCCAGUCCCCUAAAGGGGGCGUUCGUUUAUUUCAGCGUUGCAGGACGUCUGGGCCAGUGGGGCUGGGAAACAGCGCCUGGGUGGGUGGCUCAGAUGGGGGAUCUUUGUUCAGGCUCCGAGAGCAGAAAAUCACUAGAGGGACGUGUCGUAAGUGCUCUGACCCCUUCCCCGGGGAGUGUGGACCCUGGGAGCUGUCUCCUAAGCUGGCCUGAGCUCCUUGAGCCUCUGAGACCAGGUGUGGCCUGAGACACGGCUGGGAGCCGGGGAAUGAGUUAGCUGUGCAGGUUCAGAAAAGUAAGCCAUGUGAUCUGCAGGUUGGCUCAGCAUCCUGCAUUUUGUUUGCUUUUCUUUUCUCAGUCUCUCCAUCUCUCCAUCUCUGGGGGAUUUUGUUUGUUUGUUCUUGUUUUUGUCUUUUGUCUUCUUAGGGACACGCCCGAGGCAUAUGGACGUUCCUAGGCUAGGGUUCAAAUCAGAGCUGCAGCUGCCGACCUAGGCCACGGCCACAGCAACACCCGAUCUGAGCCGCCAUCUGAGCCACCUUACACCACAGGGAUCAAACCCAUGUCCUCAUGGAUACUAGUUGGGUUCAUUACCCCGGAGCCACAAUGGAACUCCCUCUGUCUCUCUUUCUCAUUUAAAUUUCCGUCUCUCCAUUGGGCUGAAGGAAACUAAGGAGCAGACAGCAGGCCACACUUGGGCUGAAGCUCUGAAAGAUGAAGCUAAUUCAUCGCUAGGCUGGUGUGUUUGUGGGUGGGAGGGUCCGAGGGGGAGAAGGGCAGGGAGAGAGGGCAGUUCUGCUGGGUCAGCCCCCGCCCCGCCAACCUGGAGAGCUGGCUUCCAGUUUUAAAGCCUUGGGGAGCUUGUGUUUUGUUUAAAUAAGGGAAGCUGUUUCCCUUACAUCCUUUCAAAAAUAAAUAAAUAGAAGUCUGUCAUAUCAUCUUACAGGUGCUGCUACCAACAAACAAAGGUUCAGAAAUGUGAAUAUUUUUUACAAAAGCAAAAGAUAAGAAGUGGAGUUCCCAUCAUGGCUCAGUGGUAAUGAACCGGACUAGUGCCUGUGAGGACGUGGGUUCGAUCCCUGGCCUCGCUCAGUGGGUUAAGGAUCUGGCGUUGCCGUGAGCUGUGGUGCAGGUCACAGAGGCCGAUCAGAUCCCACGUUUCUGUGGCUGUGGUAUAGGCCGGCAGCUACAGCUCCACUUCGACCCCACUGUGUUGCGGCCCUAAGAAAAAAGAUAACAAGGAAGUUCCCGCUGUGGCGCAAUGGUUAACGAAUCCGACUAGGAACCAUGAGGUUGCGGGUUCGGUCCCUGCCCCUGCUCAGUGGGUUAACGAUCCGGCAUUGCCGUGAGCUGUGGUGUAGGUUGCAGACGCCGCUAGGAUCCCGCGUUGCUGUGGCUCUGGCGUAGGCCGGUGGCUACAGCUCCGAUUGGACCCCUAGCCUGGGAACCUCCAUAUGCCUCGGGAGCGGCCCAAGAAAUAGCAAAAAGACAAAAA
rnacentral:lncRNA from 1 species